CCUACGGGAGGCAGCAGUGGGGAAUUUUGGACAAUGGGGGCAACCCUGAUCCAGCCAUUCCGCGUGAGUGAAGAAGGCCUUCGGGUUGUAAAGCUCUUUUGUCGGGGACGAAACGGUUACGAUUAAUACUCGUGACAACUGACGGUACCCGAAGAAUAAGCACCGGCUAACUACGUGCCAGCAGCCGCGGUAAUACGUAGGGUGCGAGCGUUAAUCGGAAUUACUGGGCGUAAAGCGUGCGCAGGCGGUUUUGUAAGCCAGAUGUGAAAUCCCCGGGCUUAACCUGGGAAUGGCAUUUGGGACUGCAAGGCUAGAGUAUGGCAGAGGAGACUAGAAUUUCUGGUGUAGCAGUGAAAUGCGUAGAUAUCAGAAGGAAUACCGAUGGCGAAGGCAGGUCUCUGGGUCAAUACUGACGCUCAUGCACGAAAGCUGGGGAGCAAACAGGAUUUAGAUACCCUGGUAGUCCCACGACCUAACGACUAGUCACUAGUUGUUGGUAGUAGUUAUUACUUCUUAGUUAACGUAAGACGUAACGUACGUGAGUUAGUACCGCCGUCGGGAGGUACGGUCGCGAGAAGUUAAACGUAACGAAAGAAGUAGACGGCGUGAGACGUGCCGACGACGACGACGAGGGAGGAGG
rnacentral:rRNA from 1 species